UACAGAGGCCCCAAGCAUUACCCGGAAUUACUGGGCGUAAAGGGUGCGUAGGUGGUCAUAUUAGUCGUCUGUUAAAGACCAGGGCUCAACCCCGGAAGUGCAGGCGAAACGGUAUGACUUGAGAGCGUGAGAGGUGCAUAGAACUCUAGGUGUAGGGGUGAAAUCCGUUGAUAUCUAGGGGAAUACCGAAAGCGAAGGCAGUGCACUGGCGCGUUUCUGACACUCAAGCACGAAAGCGUGGGUAGCGAACGGG
rnacentral:rRNA from 1 species